rnacentral:rRNA from 1 species
GACGAACCGAGCGAACGUUGUUCGGAAUCACUGGGCUUAAAGGGCGCGUAGGCGGGUUCUCAAGUCCGGGGUGAAAUCCCACAGCUCAACUGUGGAACUGCCUCGGAUACUGGGUCCCUCGAGGGUGGUAGGGGUAUGCGGAACUAUCGGUGGAGCGGUGAAAUGCGUUGAUAUCGAUAGGAACUCCGGUGGCGAAGGCGGCAUACUGGACCACAUCUGACGCUGAGGCGCGAAAGCCAGGGGAGCAAACGGG